GCGGGAUACGUCCCGCAGGGAUGUGGCCCCUUUCAAGGGCUGAACCGUGAA
rnacentral:ncRNA from 1 species